AGUGAACGCUGGCGGCGUGCUUAACACAUGCAAGUCGAACGAGAACGGAUUAUAGCUUGCUAUAAUUGUCAGCUAAGUGGCGCACGGGUGAGUAAUGUAUAGGUAAUAUGCCUCUUACUAAGGGAUAACAAAUGGAAACGUUUGCUAAUACCUUAUACUCCUUAUUAACAUAAGUUAAUAAGGGAAAGAUUUAUUGGUAAGAGAUUAGCCUGUAUUGUAUCAGUUAGUUGGUGGGGUAAUGGCUUACCAAGACUAUGACACAUAACUGGUUUGAGAGGAUGAUCAGUCACACUUGAACUGAGACACGGUCCAGACUCCUACGGGAGGCAGCAGUGGGGAAUAUUGCACAAUGGACGAAAGUCUGAUGCAGCAACGCCGCGUGGAGGAUGACACAUUUCGGUGCGUAAACUCCUUUUAUGUGAGAAGAUAAUGACGGUAUUAUAUGAAUAAGCACCGGCUAACUCCGUGCCAGCCGCCGCAGUAA
rnacentral:rRNA from 1 species